CAAAGCAAAAUGCCCACACUUUACAGACAUGGCGUGAAUCGACUGAGAUACGUAUGAUGCGGUGUCUUGACAACGUUUCAUUAAGUUAGUCUCACGUAUAACAGUUUAUUCACAACCACUAAAACACAUAACGACAGUGAUCUGUGCACGUGUUCUUUGAUUUGCCAAACUGAGAGUUGACGAGCCACACUGCAUGGAAGGCAUCUGUCAUUGUCGAUGCCAUUCUCCCGUUUUGUAAUAUAUACAUUUGUAUAAAUGAAUUCAUUAAUAACUUAUUAGCCACGUGAACCGAGUAUUUUUUCCAAAAAAAACCUUUAAGGGCGGAUCAUGUAGCCUACCGCCUGUUUCUAUAUUUGCGAGUCAGAAUCUCAGAAGCAAUUAUUUGUUUCCCCGUAAUGUGGGCUACUUUUCAAGAAGUCUAUGGUAGUAAAAAUAAACCUUUCUGUUACCUGAACAUUGAAAAUAAGCUCUUCUGAUUCCCUGGGUGGAGAAGAUGGCAGCAUUAGUCGAACAGCUUCAGUGGGAGGCAUCACAGCUGAGUUAUGCCAGCUCAACUGAUUUUACACUCAUUCAGCCAAGACUGUCACUUUACAAUGUGUAAUGUGAAUUUGGAUGUGAAUGUAACUGUGGCAAAAUGCUGGCUCUAAUUAAGAAAGUAUUAAAGUGUGGUUCAUUUUCUUCUCUUAUUGUGUUUGAAGUGUCCAGUUAAAUACCAAUAUGGAUUGCAGUGUAAUUUUGAACCUGAAAAUCUAACUACUGUUGCAUUAGCCUACUUAAUGAGUAGGGACAACUUUUUAUUCACAUGCUCAGUGAGGAGCUGCAAUCCGUAUGGGAUUGUUUCUAAAAAUGAUUAUGAUUUACUUUCACAGAAAAUAUACAUAUGUUGUGUCCGUCA